rnacentral:rRNA from 1 species
UGCCGGGGGCGGCGUUGCCUAAUACAUGGCAAGUAGAACGCUGAAGAGAGGAGCUUGCUCUUCUUGGAUGAGUUGCGAACGGGUGAGUAACGCGUAGGUAACCUGCCUUGUAGCGGGGGAUAACUAUUGGAAACGAUAGCUAAUACCGCAUAACAAUGGAUGACACAUGUCAUUUAUUUGAAAGGGGCAAUUGCUCCACUACAAGAUGGACCUGCGUUGUAUUAGCUAGUAGGUGAGGUAACGGCUCACCUAGGCGACGAUACAUAGCCGACCUGAGAGGGUGAUCGGCCACACUGGGACUGAGACACGGCCCAGACUCCUACGGGAGGCAGCAGUAGGGAAUCUUCGGCAAUGGGGGCAACCCUGACCGAGCAACGCCGCGUGAGUGAAGAAGGUUUUCGGAUCGUAAAGCUCUGUUGUAAGUCAAGAACGAGUGUGAGAGUGGAAAGUUCACACUGUGACGGUAGCUUACCAGAAAGGGACGGCUAACUACGUGCCAGCAGCCGCGGUAAUACGUAGGUCCCGAGCGUUGUCCGGAUUUAUUGGGCGUAAAGCGAGCGCAGGCGGUUUGAUAAGUCUGAAGUUAAAGGCUGUGGCUCAACCAUAGUUCGCUUUGGAAACUGUCAAACUUGAGUGCAGAAGGGGAGAGUGGAAUUCCAUGUGUAGCGGUGAAAUGCGUAGAUAUAUGGAGGAACACCGGUGGCGAAAGCGGCUCUCUGGUCUGUAACUGACGCUGAGGCUCGAAAGCGUGGGGAGCGAACAGGAUUAGAUACCCUGGUAGUCCACGCCGUAAACGAUGAGUGCUAGGUGUUGGAUCCUUUCCGGGAUUCAGUGCCGCAGCUAACGCAUUAAGCACUCCGCCUGGGGAGUACGACCGCAAGGUUGAAACUCAAAGGAAUUGACGGGGGCCCGCACAAGCGGUGGAGCAUGUGGUUUAAUUCGAAGCAACGCGAAGAACCUUACCAGGUCUUGACAUCCCGAUGCUAUUUCUAGAGAUAGAAAGUUACUUCGGUACAUCGGUGACAGGUGGUGCAUGGUUGUCGUCAGCUCGUGUCGUGAGAUGUUGGGUUAAGUCCCGCAACGAGCGCAACCCCUAUUGUUAGUUGCCAUCAUUCAGUUGGGCACUCUAGCGAGACUGCCGGUAAUAAACCGGAGGAAGGUGGGGAUGACGUCAAAUCAUCAUGCCCCUUAUGACCUGGGCUACACACGUGCUACAAUGGUUGGUACAACGAGUUGCGAGUCGGUGACGGCAAGCUAAUCUCUUAAAGCCAAUCUCAGUUCGGAUUGUAGGCUGCAACUCGCCUACAUGAAGUCGGAAUCGCUAGUAAUCGCGGAUCAGCACGCCGCGGUGAAUACGUUCCCGGGCCUUGUACACACCGCCCGUCACACCACGAGAGUUUGUAACACCCGAAGUCGGUGAGGUAACCUUUUGGAGCCAGCCGCGUAAGGGUGGAUAAAGU